rnacentral:lncRNA from 1 species
UUUUUUCCACCACUGAAAACUCUCAAACAUUCUUCACCUUUUUCUCUCUCCUUUUUUCCUUUCUCACCAAAAACCCCUCUUCCCUUGUCACGUUGUAGGUCCGUGCCGUCACGGUGCUAAAAUCACCAACAGCUUGACCCACUACUUCUCCUCUCUCCUCCUCUGCUUUCUUUUAAACUAUUCUCCUCCACCUCAUCUCAUA